AGUCUCUGAGCGAGCAGCCCAGGGCUCUGCCUCUUGGCUCUCCCUCCCUUCAAAGGGUUCUUGAGCAUCCACCGGAUGCCAGGUUGAGUGUCAAGAACGCAGCAACGAAUAAAGCAUCCCGAUUCUAGGAACGUCAUCCCAGUGGGAAACAACGAACACUGAUGACAAAAUAAUUGCAUAUUAAUUAUUCUAGAGCUAAGGGCUUUGGAGACACAGAAAUCCUAAGUCCUGUUUAAUGAACUGGUGACACUUUCAGCUUCCAGUUUAUAAAUAAUGGGUGAUAGAAAUCCCCCUCACUCUCUCUCUCUCUCCGAAAGAUGGAAAGGAAACAGCAAUCAUUUAAAAUUUCAUCUGGCCGCUGCGUUUGUGGAAUCCAAUGUCCACAAUAGCAAGCCAAGCCCCACACAGAAGGAGCUGGAAACCGUCCAGGGCUCUCACUGGGCGGCAGCCGCACUCCCUGAUGCCCAGACCUGGCACUCCUUGGCACUUGCCUCUGCUCACUGAAGCAAGCUCAGUGGCAACUACCAGACAGCUCCCUUUCUGAGCUUCUUGAAAUGGAGACUGUGGAUGGAAGUUACCAGACAGAAGUCACACCCAUCUGAAAGACUGUGUGAGGCUGGUUGACGGAGUCAACCUUUGUGGUUGUGGAGAGUUGGAAUGUUGUAGAUUCAGAGAUGAAUUACAUUGCACCGUCUCUAUUCUCCUUACCAAAACCUCAUUCUGUUGUACUUCAUCUAACUGCAGUUCCCA